rnacentral:rRNA from 1 species
GACGAACGCUGGCGGCGUGCCUAAUACAUGCAAGUAGAACGCUGAAGAGAGGAGCUUGCUCUUCUUGGAUGAGUUGCGAACGGGUGAGUAACGCGUAGGUAACCUGCCUUGUAGCGGGGGAUAACUAUUGGAAACGAUAGCUAAUACCGCAUAACAAUGGAUGACACAUGUCAUUUAUUUGAAAGGGGCAAUUGUUCCACUACAAGAUGGACCUGCGUUGUAUUAGCUAGUAGGUGAGGUAAUGGCUCACCUAGGCGACGAUACAUAGCCGACCUGAGAGGGUGAUCGGCCACACUGGGACUGAGACACGGCCCAGACUCCUACGGGAGGCAGCAGUAGGGAAUCUUCGGCAAUGGGGGCAACCCUGACCGAGCAACGCCGCGUGAGUGAAGAAGGUUUUCGGAUCGUAAAGCUCUGUUGUAAGUCAAGAACGGGUGUGAGAGUGGAAAGUUCACACUGUGACGGUAGCUUACCAGAAAGGGGCGGCUAACUACGUG